AGAAUCAACGCUGGCGGCGUGCCUCAGACAUGCAAGUCGAACGCGAAAGUUUCCUUCGGGAGGCGAGUAGAGUGGCGCACGGGUGAGUAACACGUAGGUAAUCUACCUUUGGAUGGGGAAUAACAACCGGAAACGGUUGCUAAUACCGCAUAAUGCAGCGGCACCUAAUGGUGACAGUUGUUAAAGCGGGGGAUCGAAAGACCUCGCGUCUGAAGAGGAGCCUGCGGCGGAUUAGCUAGUUGGUAAGGUAAUGGCUUACCAAGGCUACGA
rnacentral:rRNA from 1 species